GACGAACGCUGGCGGCGCGCCUAACACAUGCAAGUCGAACGAGAGAGAAGGAGCUUGCUUCUUCGAUCGAGUGGCGAACGGGUGAGUAACGCGUGAGGAACCUGCCUCAAAGAGGGGGACAACAGUUGGAAACGACUGCUAAUACCGCAUAAGCCCACAGGUCGGCAUCGACCAGAGGGAAAAGGAGCAAUCCGCUUUGAGAUGGCCUCGCGUCCGAUUAGCUAGUUGGUGAGGUAAUGGCCCACCAAGGCAACGAUCGGUAGCCGGACUGAGAGGUUGAACGGCCACAUUGGGACUGAGACACGGCCCAGACUCCUACGGGAGGCAGCAGUGGGGAAUAUUGCACAAUGGGGGAAACCCUGAUGCAGCGACGCCGCGUGGAGGAAGAAGGUCUUCGGAUUGUAAACUCCUGU
rnacentral:rRNA from 1 species